UACCUUUUCUCACGCGGACAACAGGUCUUCGGGGAUCUGGAUCUCGCGCGGCUUCUCCUAGAGCUAGGGCACGGAAACCUUCUCCACGCUCUCAACCUCACGGCCGGCGGCUCACCCUCACCUCACAACCGCCGGCCGGACUUCCUUCACCAUCCUCUCCAUCAUCCCGCGGCCAACCCUUUUCAACUUCUCCUGCUCAGAUCCAAGCGGCGACGACAGCAGUCUUCACCUCACCGGAGAGGGUUUCUCCGGUGUGACCUCCAUCUUCCGUCUUCCUUCCGAAGCUUCUACCAACUGAGGUUCAGGCGGCAGAGCAAGAAGAAGCGGCAGUUCAUCCAACCUCAUAGCACCUCACCUCCUUCAUUUCGGCGCCAUUGAUUCUUCCGGCCAUCCCUGCCCUUUUCAAAGCAGCUCUUCAUCCGGUUCAGAUCUGGACAGUAGCAGAUCCUUUCCACAGCAGAUCUUCUUCCGGACAGCAGCUUUUCUUCUAGCAGCAGCCCUUCAAGUUCGAGCAUCCUUCAUCCAGAGUAGAGCUCUUCUUCAAGCUUCAACAGAAACUUAUUUUUUCAGCCGUUCUUCAAGCUACCAACAGCCAUGAAUUGCAUUUCUUCACUGUGUUGAUUGGGUUAAUAUUUGAUUGUUUGCAAUAGUUCUUUAUGUGGGUUGAUCUUUAUUGAUAGAUGAUUGUAUUCAUUGGGUUUCUCAUGUUUUAGAUUUCUUGCAUUAGGCUUAAAGCAAAUGUUGUCUUUGAUGUGUUUGAUGAAAUGUCCCAAACACUUUAAUAGCUUUAUUAAUGCAUUUUAGUUCCUUAAUUUCUUUCAAUACUUGUUUGGUUAAAUGUUAGUGAAAGUUGUCCUUUGAUUGAAUGCAAUUAGGACUAGAUUUCUUUAAUGCUCUAGAUUACGUUCUAUGCUUAAUUUCUUUAGUUACUUACUUUAUGUUGUCUUUAAUUUCCUUUCAAUCAUAGUUUAAGUUAGACUAGGUUUUCUUAUUUGCAUCGUCUUUCAUUUACUAGGUUAGGUUUAUUUAAUGCUUUGCUAUUUUAUUUCUUAGAUUAAUUCUAUUGUUAGUGAGAUCGUAGUGAUAUCAUUAUUAAUGGAUAGAUAGGAUGUCUUUCAUUAAUUAGGAUUAGAUUUCAUACUUGCUUUGCUCUUUUGUUCCUUAGGUUUAAUUUCAUAUUUGUUUUGUUAUUUCAUAUCGUAGUUCAAAAUUCAAAACUCAACCACUCCAUUUUCAUGUUAAAAAUUCAAUGCAAUAAUCAAUCCUAAUUUUGUUAUUUACCGUUACAUUCUUUGGGAGACGACCCGAGUCAUCUCUAUACUACUUUAGUGUAGAGGGGUUCGGUAAUUUUAAUUGUAAUUUGAUAAGCUCCCGUAGCACGACACUCACGCCAAAAUUUGAUGUCAGCUCGAGUGUCGUGCUACGGGAGCUUAUCAAAUUACAAUUAAAGUUACCGAACCCCUCUACACUAAAGUAGUAUAGAGAUGACUUGGGUCGUCUCCCAAAGAAUGUAACGGUAAAUGACAAAAUUAGGAUUGAUUAUUGCAUUGAAUUUUUAAUAUGAAAAUGGAGGGGUUGGGUUUUGAAUUUUGAACUACGAUAUGAAAUAACAAAACAAAUAUGAAAUUAAACCUAAGGAACAAAAGAGCAAAGCAAGUAUGAAAUCUAAUCCUAAUUAAUGAAAGACAUCCUAUCUAUCCAUUAAUAAUGAUAUCAUAACGCAUUGUCACUCUACGCUACGAUCUCACCAAUAAUAGAAUUAAUCUAAGAAAUAAAAUAGCAAAGCAUUAAAUAAACCUAACCUAGUAAAUGAAAGACGUUGCAAAUAAGAAAACCUAAUCUAACUUAAACUAUGAUUGCAAGAAAAUUAAAGACAACAUAAAGUAAGUAACUAAAGAAAUUAAGCAUAUAACGUAAUCUAGAGCAUUAAAGAAAUCUAGUCCUAAUUGCAUUCAAUCAAAGGACAACUUUCAUUAACAUUUAACCAAACAAGCAUUGAAAGAAAUUAAGGAACUAAAAUGCAUUAAUAAAGCUAUCGAAGUGUUUGGGGCAUUUCAUCGAACACAUCAAAGACAACAUUUGCUUUAAGCAUAAUGCAAGAAAUCUAAAACAUGAGAAACCCAAUGAAUACAAUCAUCUAUCAAUAAAGAUCAACUCACAUAAAGAACUAUUGCAAACAACCAAAUAUUAACCCAAUCAACACAGUGAAGGAAUGAAUCCAAAUGCACUUCGUGGUUGUUGGAAGCUUGAAGAACGACUGAAAAAAUAAGUUUCUGUUGAAGCUUGAAGAAGUUGUAGCUGAAUUCCAGAAAUCAGAAUUCAAUCUUGAUGAAUUUGAUGGCGUUAGAACAUAAGCUGAAACCUUGAAUUUAUCUGCUGAAAUUGUUGGAAACUUGAAACUGAAUGAAAACCACAAAAAAAAAAAAAAUUAGAAACAGAACAAGGAAAGGAAGAGAUGCUGAAGUGUUUAGAACAGACCAUGGAAUGAGUUCUGGAAUUGUUUAGCUAGAGUUUCCUUGAAGUCUAAUUUUGAGACUGAAAUCAGAAUACAGAAUUCUUCAGAUGCAGUUGCUGCAGGAGCUUAAUUGGUGUUCUAUCAAUGCAAUAGGAAUGUAUUUCUCAAGCAAAUUAGAAUGGAGUGUUACCAGUGUUGUGGCUGAUUCAAGUUGAAUGAAAAUUUCAAGUCUAUAGAAGAAAGUGAUAAUCUGAACUUGAAGUGAAAUCAGAACUUGAAGCUUGCAAUUGAGGUACCAAUUAGUACAUGUGUGUGCCAAAUUCUUGAUGGAGUUUUCUGAUGGGGGUGAAGAUCUGAGUUUUGAAAUUGAUUUUGAUGCAAAUAUUUGUGCCAAUUCUUGAAUUUCAAGUCUGAUUUGAAUUCUAAAACAUGGUUUGAAUUUGAUUGAUGAACAUUACUGAAGGUUAAAUGAUGAUUGGAAUUGCAGCCAUUACUUGAAUUUCAGAUUUUGAAACUGCAUUACUUCACUGCAUUGCUAGCUAUUUUAAGAAAUUCAAUCCAGAAAGUCAGAAAUAGUGAUAAAAUGAGCUUCAAGUCAUUGGAUACAUGAUAUGUUUCAUUGUCUGAGACGGCCAAUAGUUUAAGUAUGGGGAAGGGUGUUGGAUAUCCAACAUGUGAGAUUAUUUUUGAGCUUCCAAAUGUUGGAAUUUUGGUGGAAAAACAGUGGAAAAAAAUUUGAAGAAAAAAAUGACACAUUCAAGAGAGUAUCAAGUGGAAGAUAGAGUAUAAAAUUUUAUGUUUGCCAUCAAAUUGAAGGGGAUUAGCUUGGUCUUUUGAAUUGUCAGAAACAAAUGGUAUCAAAGGAUCUUGGAUUUGGAUCUAUUUGGACCAAAUUUGUGCUCGAAUCGGAGUUGAAAUGAGAAGAACAAACCUUGGAGUUAUUUAGACCGCUCAUCUACAAUCAAGCAGAUCUGAGUCAUCCAUUGAAGAUCUGGCCUAUCCAACCUAAUGAGGAGAUCUCAGCCAUGAUGAAGAUCCAGAGGUUUUGAUUCAGAUCUGAGUUCAUACAGCCAUUGAUCA